rnacentral:tRNA from 1 species
CGAAAGAUAAGCUAACGUUAUAAGCUAAUAGGUUCAUACCCUGUAAAUGAAAUUAAUUCUUUUUCUCUUUCUA